UGAANUUAAAGGCAUUGGCUCAACCAANGUAUGCUUUGGAAACUGUUAGACUUGAGUGCAGAAGGGGAGAGUGGAAUUCCAUGUGUAGCGGUGAAAUGCGUAGAUAUAUGGAGGAACACCGGUGGCGAAAGCGGCUCUCUGGUCUGUCACUGACGCUGAGGCUNGAAAGCGUGGGUAGCGAACAGGAUUAGAUACCCUGGUAGUCCACGCCGUAAACGCUGAGUGCUAGGUGUUAGGUCCUUUCCGGGACUUAGUGCCGACGCUAACGCAUUAAGCACUCCGCCUGGGGAGUACGACCGCAAGGUUGAAACUCAAAGGAAUUGACGGGGGCCCGCACAAGCGGUGGAGCAUGUGGUUUAAUUNGAAGCAACGCGAAGAACCUUACCAGGUCUUGACAUCCCGAUGCCCGCUCUAGAGAUAGAGUUUUUCUUCGGAACAUNGGAGACAGGUGGUGCAUGGUUGUCGUCAGCUCGUGUCGUGAGAUGUUGGGUUAAGUCCCGCAACGAGCGCAACCCUUAUUGUUAGUUGCCAUCAUUAAGUUGGGCACUCUAGCGAGACUGCCGGUAAUAAACCGGAGGAAGGUGGGGAUGACGUCAAAUCAUCAUGCCCCUUAUGACCUGGGCUACACACGUGCUACAAUGGUUGGUACAACGAGUCGCAAGCCGGUGACGGCAAGNUAAUCU
rnacentral:rRNA from 1 species